rnacentral:rRNA from 1 species
GGACCCGCACAAGUAGUGGAGCAUGUGGUUUAAUUCGAAGAUACGCGCAGAACCUUACCAACACUUGACAUGUUCGUCGCGACUCUAAGAGAUUAGAGUUUUCGGUUCGGCCGGACGAAACACAGGUGCUGCAUGGCUGUCGUCAGCUCGUGUCGUGAGAUGUUGGGUUAAGUCCCGCAACGAGCGCAACCCUCACUUUUAGUUGCCAUCAUUUAGUUGGGCACUCUGAAAGAACUGCCAGUGAUAAGCUGGAGGAAGGUGGGGAUGACGUCAAGUCCUCAUGGCCCUUACGUGUUGGGCUACACACGUACUACAAUGGCUAGGACAGACGGCCGCAAACCCCGCGAGGGGGAG